rnacentral:rRNA from 1 species
UACGUAGGGGGCAAGCGUUGUCCGGAAUCAUUGGGCGUAAAGAGCGCGUAGGCGGCCCUGUAAGUCCGCUGUGAAAGUCAAGGGCUCAACCCUUGAAUGCCGGUGGAUACUGCAGGGCUAGAGUCCGGAAGAGGCGAGUGGAAUUCCUGGUGUAGCGGUGAAAUGCGCAGGAUAUCAGGAGGAACACCGAUGGCGAAGGCAGCCUCCUGGGCCAGCACUGACGCUCAUGCACGAAAGCGUGGGGAGCAAACAGG